GUCAGGAAAAGUGGCGUUUGAGGACUUGCCCCUUUACAGAAUAAUAAAUAAGGCAUGCAGGGGUGUUAACAAGCAGACGACCACAGCUGAAGUGGAUUGUGAGCUUGGAGAGGUCCUGAAACUGGCCACUUUUCGAAAGGGAGGUUCAAAAUUUGAGGAGAAGAGGAGGAAUUAAGAGGGAGGACAAAAAAGGAAAAAGAAACAAGCAAAAGAACAGAGUGAGAUGAGAGG